GGAAGGAUCAUUCAAAAGAAAAACACAUUUAUGUUGUUUACCUUUGUGCAAAGUAAAUAAAUUUACUCAAUUUUAUAACUUGACUGAAAAUUUUUCAUUAUUUUAAUUGAACAUUGAAGAUAACUUCUGUUGUUUUCAAUAAGUAGAUUAUAUUUGAAUCUUUAUACAACUUUUAACAAUGGAUCUCUUGGCUCUCGCAUCGAUGAAGAACGCAGCGAAAUGCGAUAAGUAAUGUGAAUUGCAGAAUUCAGUGAAUCAUCGAAUCUUUGAACGCAACUGGCGCUUUUUGGUAUUCCAAAAAGCAUGCCUGUUUGAUACCGUAAACCAAAAUGAGCAUAGAAUUUAUUUUAUGGUCAUCUAUGGAUGUUUCUUCAAUUUGAAGUCAUCUAAAAUAUAUUUUAUAAUAGUGAACCUCUUAGCAAUUUUAAGACGUGAUAAUAUUUCUCUUGAAGAACUUUUCUCACUUAUUGAUUUUGCUUAAUGUUCUGCUAAUAAAUGUUUGUGCUCACUUCUUGUAAGUGUGUACAACCCUGAAGGUCGGUAUCAAAUCAGGUAGGAUUACCCGCUGAACUUAAGCAUAUUAAUAAGCGGAGGAAAAGAAACUAACAAGGAUUCCCUUAGUAACGGCGAGUGAAGCGGGAUGAGCUCAAUUUUGAAAUCGGACAUGAAUUUUUCUUUCCGAGUUGUAGUCUAUAGACACGUUUUCCAGUACAGCCUUGAAUUAAAUCUCUUGGAAUAGGGUAUCAUAGAGGGUGAGAAUCCCGUCUCUGGUCAAGGUUUUGUGCUUUUGUGAUACGUGCUCAAAGAGUCGCGUUGUUUGGGAAUGCAGCGCAAAUCGGGUGGUAAAUUUCAUCCAAAGCUAAAUAAUGGCGAGAGACCGAUAGCGAACAAGUACCGUGAGGGAAAGAUGAAAAGAACUUUGAAAAGAGAGUUAAAUAGUACGUGAAAUUGUUAGAAGGGAAACGCAUGAAAAGUAGACACUCCUGUCUUUUAGAGUUGGAUUUAACUUGGGUAAUCAAGGAUUGGGGAAGGCUUCGGUCGCUCCUUCUUUGUUUUUAUCCUAGGGCCUCCAACUUCCGGACAGGAAUGCCGACGGUCAGCUUGAUGUCAUGUAGGUGAAUUUGGAUAGUAGCGAUUCCUUCGGGUUUCUGUGAGCCAAAACUAGCCAAACGUGGGGUCAGGCUAUCGCCUAAGUUUCUGGUUCUGCAGUGUAGCUGUAGAAAGCUUUCCGGGAUUGGCAUGAGGCGAACCAAUGGGUCAAACUUUGUUUGACAUCCACAGGAACUGCAAUGUUGCCAGUCUCGUGUUUAGUCUGCCAGCUUAGGUAUUGUCGGCAGGUAACGAUUUCAUACGACCCGUCUUGAAACACGGACCAAGGAGUCUAACAUAUAUGCGAGUAUUUGGGUGUUAAACCCAUAUGCGCAAUGAAAGUGAAUGCAGGUGGGAUCCAAAAACCUUCUGGUUUGCGGUGCACCAUCGACCGAUCUGGAUAUUCUUUGAUAGAUUUGAGUAAGAGCAUACAUGUUGGGACCCGAAAGAUGGUGAACUAUACUUGAAUAGGGUGAAGUCAGAGGAAACUCUGAUGGAGGCUCGUAGCGAUUCUGACGUGCAAAUCGAUCGUCAAAUUUGAGUAUAGGGGCGAAAGACUAAUCGAACCAUCUAGUAGCUGGUUCCUGC
rnacentral:misc_RNA from 1 species